GACGAACGCUGGCGGCGUGCUUAACACAUGCCAGUCGAACGGAAAGGCCCUGCUUUUGUGGGGUGCUCGAGUGGCGAACGGGUGAGUAACACGUGGGUAACCUGCCCUUGACUUUGGGAUAACUUCAGGAAACUGGGGCUAAUACCGGAUAGGAGCUCCUGCUGCAUGGUGGGGGUUGGAAAGUUUCGGCGGUUGGGGAUGGACUCGCGGCUUAUCAGCUUGUUGGUGGGGUAGUGGCUUACCAAGGCGUUGACGGGUAGCCGGCCUGGGAGGGUGACCGGCCACAGUGGGGCUGGGAUGGGGGCCAGAGGGCUACGGGAGGCAGCGGGGGGGGUUAUUGCGCGAUGGGCGGAGGGGUGGUGGAGGGGCGCCGCGUGGGGGAGGACGGCCUUCGGGGUGGAAAGCGUGUUCGCGUGGGACGAAGCGUGAGUGACGGUAAUGGGUAAGGAAGCGCCGGCUAACUACGUG
rnacentral:rRNA from 1 species